UACGAAGGGGGCUAGCGUUGUUCGGAUUUACUGGGCGUAAAGCGCACGUAGGCGGAUCUUUAAGUCAGAGGUGAAAUCCCAAGGCUCAACCUUGGAACUGCCUUUGAUACUGGGGAUCUCGAGUUCGGGAGAGGUGAGUGGAACUGCGAGUGUAGAGGUGAAAUUCGUAGAUAUUCGCAAGAACACCAGUGGCGAAGGCGGCUCACUGGACUGUAACUGACGCUGAGUCACGAAAGCGUGGGGAGCGAACAGG
rnacentral:rRNA from 1 species